rnacentral:rRNA from 1 species
GAGUGGCGAACGGGUGAGUAACGCGUGAGGAACCUGCCUCAAAGAGGGGGACAACAGUUGGAAACGACUGCUAAUACCGCAUAAGCCCACAGCUCGGCAUCGAGCAGAGGGAAAAGGAGCAAUCCGCUUUGAGAUGGCCUCGCGUCCGAUUAGCUAGUUGGUGAGGUAACGGCCCACCAAGGCAACGAUCGGUAGCCGGACUGAGAGGUUGAACGGCCACAUUGGGACUGAGACACGGCCCAGACUCCUACGGGAGGCAGCAGUGGGGAAUAUUGCACAAUGGGGGAAACCCUGAUGCAGCGACGCCGCGUGGAGGAAGAAGGUCUUCGGAUUGUAAACUCCUGUUGUUGAGGAAGACAAUGACGGUACUCAACAAGGAAGUGACGGCUAACUACGUGCCAGCAGCCGCGGUAAAACGUAGGUCACAAGCGUUGUCCGGAAUUACUGGGUGUAAAGGGAGCGCAGGCGGGAAGACAAGUUGGAAGUGAAAUCUAUGGGCUCAACCCAUAAACUGCUUUCAAAACUGUUUUUCUUGAGUAGUGCAGAGGUAGGCGGAAUUCCCGGUGUAGCGGUGGAAUGCGUAGAU